UCCCUGCAAGCACAAAAAGGUUAGAGUAAACAACCUCUCACUCUGUCCUCUGGCUCAUCCUCUGUGGUUUCAGCUCCCAUCAGUCCCUGUGAUCCUGGGUGCCGGCUGACUUCUAAGGUCCAGAAUGUGCCGUUCCCAGGCAGUGGCCUUUGCCUUCUCUCUGUCACCUCAGAUUCCAUGAACAAACUGAUAAGUCUCGGGCUCUAAGGUCACAAAUCCCAGGGAACCAGGCUGCCCUUUCCCAAGCCCUCUCCAGACUGUCAUCCGCCGCCUGGAGAAGGAGACUGGCAUUUCCUCUCCGACAGGUUAACAGAAGGCCCAGGACCUCCCUCUCCCGGGGUGCUGGGGGCACCGGGAAGUCAAGUCACCAGCAGAGAGCCCCAGGACAAGUGCCCACGAGUAGAAAGAUGCCUCGUGACUCUCAGGAAAGCUCUUCCUCAGCACCUUCAGAUGGGCUGGGAGGAGCGGAGAAUUGCCAGACGACGGAGCACCAGGAGUCUUGACCUCUUCUCACAAGCCCAGAAAAGGCUGGGGAGCCAGAGAGCACCCUCCCCGGCGCAGACUCUCUCGACACACACAGUUUUUAUCCCAGAAUAAGCCACAGCCAAGCUCGUGGGAAAGAAGCAAGCCCCGGCUUCACAUACAGCAGCCUCUGGGCCAAAUGCUACAUUCCAAAGAGUCAACCCAGGCAUGGGCAGGACAUGGGCUGGUGAGUGACCCGGCCUCUCUUACAGUAGCCCCUCCGAGCUCCCUGGCCCCAGGGACAAAGCCACUGAGCUGGCCAGCAGCCCCGGGGAGGCCACCAGAGCCCCCAGAGCACUUGCUGGCCGGCCUGGGAGGUGGAAAAAGGAGGCGGCAGGCAGGGGUAGCCCGCAGGUUUUGCCAGACCUCUACAUGUGUCAGAGGCAUCAAAUCCAUUCCUCCCUUCCUUCUGGAAUAGCCAGGCGGCUAGAAACAGCUCAGAACAACUAGAGAGCCUUGUCUUCUCUCUCAACGAGGCCCAAGCGUGCCCUGCCGCUCUACUUCUCAGGGCAGAGACGUGCGGCUCAGAGUUUGUCCACACCAGGUUUUCCAUGGCCAGUCCAGCUCCAACCCUGACACCCCACACAGCCAGAUUCAUCCUCUUGUCCUGGGUGUGGUGUGUGCGUGCAAAUGCACACACACACACACACACGCAUGCACACACACAUGCACACACACUCACUCCCCUGUCCACCUUCUUAAUACAAAAGACUGUGCUAGGUUCUUAGAUACCGGCUCUGCCCUCCUAGAGCUUGUCGUUGAGGAGGGGGCCGAAAACUAGGUGACAAUAGACGGGUGGCCAUGAGUUUGUCAGAGAAUGGCCAAAGAAAGCACUGACGGGAGUUCUGAGGGGGGAGAUUGCAACUGAAGAGAGGGAAGGAAGGCACUCAAGGACUAGGGAUGGAGGGGGGAAAGCCCAGGGCACGUGCUAGAUCGGAGGAAUCCAGUUUGGCCAGAGAGUCAGGAAUCAGUCCAUCAGUAUUGGGUGCCUCCUGUGUGCCAGGCACUGCACUAAGGGCUAGAGUAAGGAAAAGAGCACUAGAGCAUGGCCUGUCCCCAAAGCCUUUGUGUAGUUUUAAGUUACGGAAGCUGGAAUCUGCACAAAGACUUUGGGACACCCUGUAUCAGGCGAGAAUGGAAAGGUAUGGAAGUGCCUAAUUGGAGAAGGCCUUGAAGGUCGGGCAAAGAUAUGUGAAUUAAACUCGGGGGACAAUAGGGAGCUAUGGAAGAUUUCUGAGCAGAUCUAGACACGAGAGUUUAUGCUAGCUACAAUAUUUGGGAUGGAUUGUGGCAAAGGUGUGUGCGGAGGAGGGAUGAGACAUGAUUUCGGGCACGUGGUAAUAAGGAUUUACAGGGGAAGGGGAAGGAGAGGAAUGUGCUAGAUAUUUCGGAGAUGGAAUGAAAGGAGGCCUAGUGUGGAAGGUGAGGGAGAAAGCGAUACCAGGGAGAACCCUGAGGACAGUCUACCUGAAGACUGGAUAAAUGGUGGCCCCACUGACAGAAAAUUAGGAGGGAAUCUAAGAGCCCCUUUAAAUAAUAAUUUGUGAUCUCACACUCAGGUGAGAUUCAGGGAGAUUACAGGGCAAUCUGGGACCUAGCAAGGACUUCUGGGGAUUGAAGUCUGGGGUUCAAGUCUCCAUUUGACAGUUUCCAUAUGCUGAUUUAGAGGGAGAGAGCCAGACAGAGGUGCCCUAGAAGCCGCUAGAAAUGCCAGCCUAGAACUCAGAAGGGGUCAGUGCGAGAAAUAAAGAUUUGGGGAAGUACCUCCAGAGAUAAGGAAGUUGAAGCCACAGACGCGGGGAUCAAGAAGGGAGAGAAUGUAAGGAGAGGACACAAGGCCCAAGCACAGACGUUUAGGGAGCUUUAGGGCCCCUUCCUGGAUCCAGCUGGAAAGAAGAUGGAGAAGACCUUUAGUGUAUGCUCUCUCUGAAGGCAAAGGAGGAGUCAGCAUCCAGCAGGAGAAAACAGUUCACAUGGUCAAGGGCUGCAGUGAGCUAAAGAUGAACAAUGAAAAAAGCGUGAUUCUCGGUGUUGUUCUCAGGUCAGUGGUGAUUUGGCAGUGAGCUUCAGGAAGGGCUUGGGUGAAAAGCUACAUUGCAAAGGGCUAAGAAGAGGCUGGGUGGUGAAAUGAUAAGAAUAAGUGUUUUCUUUAUGUAGAUAGUGCUUUAAGAUUUACAAAGCACUAAUCCAUGCCAUCUCCCUUGAUCCUCCCACUUGACAACUCAGCGGCAUUGUUAUAUAGAAGAUGAGAGGCUGAGAGAACUUCAGUGACUGGCCCAAGGUCACACAGCUAAUACAUGUCCAAAGAUGGGAUCUCGGGGCUCCCACUCUCCUGGUCCAGGAUUCCAUCCUCUGGAUCAUCUUGGGCACACAUCGUUCUUUCAAGAAAUUUGGCCAUGAAGGAGAAGAGACAGAAGGGUCAAAAAAGAGCUUUUUUUUUAGGAUCAGAGAGACUUAAAUAUGUUUUUAGGGAGGCAGGAAGAAGACUGUAGAGGGAGAAACUAGAAAUGUAUAAGACCAUGUCCUACUCCAGCUAUUUACAGAUGAGGAAGCAGAGGCAAGCAGGGUUCAGGGAUUUGCCCAGGCGAACACAGCUCAUUUGUAUCAUCAAAAUGAGUCUUCCUGACUCCAGGCCCAAGACGCUGUGCACUACACUGCUACCUCAUUGCCUCCUCCCUCAAGUCUCCCAAAUCACGGCUUUGUAGAGGCUACAUUGCCCUGGGAAGAGGGGCAAGAUGGCAGCUGGGCCUCCCUCCACCUACGGCGCAGAACGCCUCGCAUUCGGGCGAGAGCAAUAUUAGCAUCCCUGCCACGCUCCAGCAGCAUCCCAGUUCCCGUCGUCCAUACAACUAGCUUCCUGAAAUGCAGUUUGGGGAAAAGGCCCAAAGGACCGGAGCAGGCUCAAGACGGACUUCUAGAAUCCGUAAGCAAAGGGACGCGCACGGGCUGUCUGAGGGGCUUUCAGGUUCAGAAACCAAACUGUGCGUGGAGGGGUGGCCAGAUGUAGCGGCUGCCCCAUCCCGCCCCAGGUAGCCGUGAGACGGAGCCCUGUAUGGCCUUUGUCGCAGCCACAGACGUGCCUGGGCCCAGGACCUCCCCAGGCCAUCCAGCGAGGCCCAGCUAAGAGCUCGGCAAGCCUUCAAGGGUGCUGCCACCCCCACCCCCCCCAGAAGAGCAGAGAUGGCGGCCCUGGGGCUGCUGGGAACGGGCUCGAGGCCUGGAUUUCUGCAUUCCUGACCUAGGCUAGCCUCCUUAAUCCCCUUUGAUCAGAUCGGAGGGUCCAGCUAAACCCAUUAUACAACCUCAAUCCACCCUGGUAUUAUAUCUACUUCUGCUUGCCAAAUAGCUGUCCUUCCUUGGGAGCAAACAAUCCCUCCACCUGACUCCAAGGGCUGCCUUAGCUUUCUUCUGGAUUUUGUUUGGUUUUGUUUUGAAUCCUUCCUUUCAGUCUUAGCAACAACGCAGUAACAAGACAGAGGGGCAAGGGCGAGGCGACUGGGGUCAAGUGACUUGCCCAGGGUCACGCAGCUAGGAAGUGUCUGAGGUCACAUUUGAAUCCAGGACCUCCUGUUUCCUGGUCUGGUGCUCUAUCCACUGAGCCACUCAGCUACCCCUUUCCUAUUCUGUGUGCAGACAGUUAACCCUGAGGCUGGGUCCUGGACCUUGCAGAGUCUGGGUCCAGGCGGCUGUCAGAAGGCUGACUCGGAGUUGAGUUGGGAGACCCCUGCAGGUCAGGUUGGGACAGCAUCCUCACCUAAUCUGGAGACUAACUGAAAGUGAGCCCUUCUCCCCCCCCCCAACCCCUGCCCUCUAGAGUCCCUUUUGUUCCUUGUGCUGUCCCCAGGCUCUCUGGCUGUCCCCUGCCCCCACUGGGUAUUUUUAACCUCAGUCACUGGUCAUUCAUUCUACUGAAGGGCCCAAGGGUGGCUCUGAACUCUAUGGUUCAGUCAAAUUGGCCUUCUUGGUCUUAACGUACAAUACUCCAUUUCCUACCUCCAUGCAUUUGCACUAGCUAUCCCCCAUGCCUAGAAUUUACUUCUUCCCCAUCUUUGCUUCUUUAGAAUCCCUGGUUGCUUUUUCUUUUUAAACCCUCACCUUCUGUCUUAGAAUCACUACUAUGCAUUGGUUCCAAAGCAGAAGAGUGUUAAGGGCUAGGCAAUGGGGGUUAAGUGACUUGCCCAGGGUCACACAGCUGGGAAGUGUCUGAGGCCAGAUCUGAACCCAGGACCGUCUGUCUCUGGGCCAGGCUCACCAUCCACUGAGCUACCCAGCUGUCCUCCCUGGUUGCUUUUAAGACUCAACUGAGUCCUUGUAUAGCUUUUUCCUGGUUCCACCAGCUGCUGGUUACCUUGUGUCUGGUGGUAUAAACAAACCUAUAAAUGUCUCCACCGUUAGCCCAUAAGCUCCUGGAGGAGAGGGAGUGUUUCCCUUUUGUCCUGUAUCUCCAGUGCCUAGCACAGUACUCAGCACACAGGAGGGGUUCCAUAAAUGCUUCACUAAUUGGCUAGUCUUCCAGGUAGAGGAAGAGUAUGGAGGCCGAGUGUCAGGGCUGCUCUUGAAAGCCUCCGCCUCAGCGGUUGCCCUCAGCUUUUCCACAAAGCCCCCACCUCCAGGAAGGACGCGCCUGCCUAUGCUGAAGACCCUUCCCCAGCAGGAGUGAAGAGAGGCCUCUGCCGUGGCCCGGCCUCCGGCCAGGGGCCACUGUGGCCACCAGGACUUCCUCUUUAGCCCUUCUCUGGUUGCUCAUUUAGAGCUGAAGGGGUCUUGGAGGACCUCUACCCAGCCCACCUUACCUGCCGAUAGAUCUUCCCCUUCUCCAGGUGGCUGAUUUUGUCCCACUGCAGGACGCCACUUUCGUCCAGUUUUCUAAAAGGCCUGGCGCGGAGGUAGGGGAAGACGGGAGAAAAAGAAGGACACUGGCUCAGUCACGGCCCCGGAAGCACCACUUCUACGUUCCCCCUGGACGGGAUCCACAGGAAGGACCCGGAAUCAGAGAGGAGGAGGCCGGAGCCCCGGUGACUAGGCCCGGCUCGGAGCUGAGCUGGGGCCGCAGCCUCACUGUGGGAUGUGGAGACUACCUGAGAGCACUCGGGGAGGGAAAGUCCUCUCGGAGAAUGCCUUGCUGCGGUGCACAGCCGCCCACCGAGGUCAGGCCUCUGACCCUCCCUCCGCAGACAGAGCCUGGGAAGCGAUUUUCUUCCCAGAGUAAACAGGAUGAGGCGGAUGGGCCCACCCAGCCCCGCGGCCCCAAGGUUAAGUGGCCCACAGACCGCAGGGCUGAUGGAUGUCCCCUUGCCCAGAGGUGCCACGGUGAAUGUCACCCCGGCCCUCGCUUCCCCCUUCCUCCCAGGGCCAAAAAGAGACAGAAAGUGGCCCCGGCGGAACCUACAGGGAAGGCUCAAUAGAAGCCACGCUUUCCCGCUUCUUCAGGGGCUCGGGUGCCUAUGCCCAUGGGGUGGCUCGCAGGAGAAGUGCAUGAUGGGAAAUGGGCCCAGUGCCCAGGGGCCGGCGGGCUCGGGUUUCUUUCUGGGGACUUGGCUGCUCGGAGGAGGAUUUGUGCUCCUUCCUGUUCAUUCCAGGACACUGAGCCAUGGGCAGGUCUCCCCCUCUGGGGUGGGACUCCGCACACAUAAUCCUUAGGCAGAAGGGGGCCAGGGCCAUCUCUCAGCACUCCGGUUCAUUAUCGAAAAUCUGUCUAUUCAUUCAUUCUCUUCCUGGAGAAGUCCAGAUACACAUGGGGGACUAGACUCACACACGAAGGGAAAAGGGGGAAACGGCAUUUCCUUUCUCUGAGGGGGUGGAAAAGAGGGCAGAGUGGGGACCUGAGCCCUCCCCAAGGGGUUCAGUCAUUUGACGUCAGGGCCAGCCACAUGGGAUUCAUCCAGCCCUUUGUGGCCACCUCCUGACUGCCCUGCACUUCCUGCCCUCCAGUUUAGAGCUCAUGCUUUAAAGAGACUCCCUUGUCCCGCAGAAGAUGGUGGAGAAGGGAAGGAAGACUGGGGAACCCCAGAGCGCCCAGCUUACUUGCGUCUGUCUGUGAAAAAGUUUGGCUUGUCCGCUCGGACAAUGACGACAUCAAAAAGAUCGCGCCAGUCCUUGCCAACCAUAUGCUUCAUCCCCUUGUCCCUGAGGGUGACAAUGGGCAAUAAUCAGAACAGGAAAGGAAAAGUUAAUAAAGAAUAUUUUAUCUUA